CAAUUUUAAUGUUUUAUUUGUAUCAGCUUUGGCUGAACCUAUAAAAUAACUGUUAAAAUCUGAUCAUAAAAAAAAAAUCACAGAUUUGGUAAACAGCAGGAACUUAUUUGAGUCAGUAAAGGCAAGUCUGGAAGCCUGAGGGAGGGGUGCCAGAAGUGGCUGGAAAGGCACCAGACAAAGCACAGGAACAAUGGGACACGCAGGAGAACGGGAUGUCCCCUUCAGGGCUGCUCUCUGACCGUUCCAGUGGUGCAAUCAGACAAGCAACAGCACUGGCAGUGGGGAAGGGAAAAGUGUACGAGCCCGUCUAACUCCAGGCUGCAGCUGCUGUGUGAGAAGGAAUCCAGUUACGCAAACCUCAACAGAAGCCAUGCCUUGUUGCUGUGGGAUAAUGCUCUUGGUCAUUCCUCAUCCCUUUUUCCUAUGGGAUACUUGAAAACACAGGGGUCAAACUGAACCAAGUGGAAAAGCCAGCAAUCCCUCCAUUUUAAGGAACAUACCCUACUUAAAAGCAUGUCUCCGUCUGGAGUGAAGACGGACUGGAUGACUUUGGUGUGCUCGAGGGCAGGACUGCCACCCAGAGGGACUCAGUCAGAGAAGCUGUCCUGAAAGACGAGCAUGGAGGAGGCAGAGGACCUCUGCAGCCAGGAUGUGCUGCUGCAGUGUGCAAUUGCACAAACCAAGCUGUUGUGUAUUCAGAGUCGCAUCUGCCUGUCCAAAUGACCAAAAUGAAGUAUUUGCUGCUUUCUACUUUAUUUAAGCCUACAGGAGCCAGUAAAGCUCAUCCUCCUCAUGCACCAAGGUAUCCACAUGUGCCACUCGCCAACCUGGAACUUCUUCACCAAGCAAUGUCUGAGCAAAUCUCCUAAAAACAGAGCAACUGCUCGCAGAUUAUUGUAAUAAUAAUUUGGCUGACAUAGCCUUUAUUACUAACGGUGAUGCUGGAGAUGGAAAACCCAGCUCGAUUCUCAGAUCCCUGCUGGAAAGUAAUAA
rnacentral:lncRNA from 1 species